rnacentral:tRNA from 1 species
GCCCCGAUAGCCCAGUUGACAGAGCAUCAGACUUUUAAUCUGAGGGUCAAGGGUUCGAGCUCCUUUUCGGGCG